rnacentral:rRNA from 1 species
UACGAAGGGGCUAGCGUUGUUCGGAAUUACUGGGCGUAAAGCGCACGUAGGCGGACAUUUAAGUCAGGGUGAAAUCCCAGAGCUCAACUCUGGAACUGCCUUUGAUACUGGGUGUCUUGAGUAUGGAAGAGGUGAGUGGAAUUCCGAGUGUAGAGGUGAAAUUCGUAGAUAUUCGGAGGAACACCAGUGGCGAAGGCGGCUCACUGGUCCAUUACUGACGCUGAGGUGCGAAAGCGUGGGAGCAAACAGG